UGAGGGGGGCUGCUCCUAGUACGAGAGGACCGGAGUGGACGCAUCACUGGUGUUCGGGUUGUCAUGCCAAUGGCACUGCCCGGUAGCUAAAUGCGGAAGAGAUAAGUGCUGAAAGCAUCUAAGCACGAAACUUGCCCCGAGAUGAGUUCUCCCUGACUCCUUGAGAGUCCUGAAGGAACGUUGAAGACGACGACGUUGAUAGGCCGGGUGUGUAAGCGCAGCGAUGCGUUGAGCUAACCGGUACUAAUGAACCGUGAGGCUUAACCUUACAACGCCGAAGCUGUU
rnacentral:rRNA from 1 species